UACGAGGGGGGCGAGCGUUGUUUCGGAAUUAUUUGGGCGUAAAGGGGUGCGUAGGCGGUUUGGUAAGUCUUAUGUGAAAAUCUACAGGCUCAACUUGUAGUCUGCAUGGAGAAAACUGCCGGGGCUUGAGUAUGGGAGAGGUGAGUGGAAUUCCUGGUGUAGCGGUGAAAUGCGUAGAUAUCAGGAGGAACACCUGUGGCGAAAAGCGGCUCACUGGACCAUAACUGACGCUGAUGCACGAAAGCUAGGGGAGCAAACAGG
rnacentral:rRNA from 1 species